rnacentral:lncRNA from 1 species
GGAUAUUAAACAUUUUGCAAACCACAUCAAAUUCGCGUAUUUAGUUAAAGGUACUGCCUUAGGGUAGGCGUUGUGGGGGUGGUAACACCUUCCCCACACGUAAUCGACUUCCGAAACCAGAAUUUGGUUUUGUAGACCUUGCGUUAUCUUUUACGGUUUUUUCCAUAGUUUUCCAAAAUAAACUAUGGUGGCGACUCCAAAAUCUCUUUUUCAAAAAAUGUUUUCUUUUUUUGAUCGUCGUCCCGUCG